GGAUAUAAAUCAAGUCACAUUUAAUUCAUGCAUUGGUGUUCUCACCCACACCCACAACCCGAUCACCUACAGAGACUUUUGCCAGGUGCCUCCUAAGCACCUUCAAAGGGUCAUUGACAGCUUGGAGUGUAGUUAUGAUUUUCAAAAUAACCAACAUGUGAUGACAAAUUACGUUCAUGAACGCGUGAACACCUCUUGGAGAAAUUAGAAGGACCGGUUGCAUUUAAAGUAUAUUAAGAACAAGGAUCCUGCAGCUGUGAAAUCAUCUCCCGCCCCUGUUGGUGUGCCUAUCAAGGAUUGGAUUAUCUUUGUGGAUCAACACAAUACAAAUGAAUUCAAGGAAUUGAGUGCAAGAAAUGCCUUCAAUCGGUCCAAACAAGUUGGCCCUUCUACACUUGGGCGGCAUAGCAUGGUUGUCACACGCCAUUAGAUGGUACAUGCAAUUGAGAGGAAUCUUACUAGUGAUGCCGAGGUUGGUAGGGCUGAGGUGUACAUCAGAGCCCAUACAACAAAGGAUGACAAAUUGCAAUUUUCUGAAACCUUUGUAA